AGUGACGAUAGCCUAGGAGAUACACCUGUACCCAUGCCGAACACAGUAGUUAAGCCCUAGAACGCCUGAAGUAGUUGGGGGUUGCCCCCUGUUAGAUACGGUAGUCGCUUAGCU
rnacentral:rRNA from 3 species